rnacentral:rRNA from 1 species
AGCAAAUAGAUACCCGGGUAGUCCACGCCGUAAACGAUGAAUACUAGGUGUAGGGGUUGUCAUGACCUCUGUGCCGCCGCUAAACGCAUUAAGUAUUCCGCCUGGGGAGUACGGUCGCAAGAUUAAAACUCAAAGGAAUUGACGAGGGCCCGCACAAGCAGCGGAGCAUGUGGUUUAACUCGAAGCAACGCGAAGAACCUUACCUAGACUUGACAUCUCCUGAAUUACUCUGUAAUGGAGGAAGCCACUUCGGUGGCAGGAAGACAGGUGGUGCAUGGUUGUCGUCAGCUCGUGUCGUGAGAUGUUGGGUUAAGUCCCGCAACGAGCGCAACCCUUAUUGUUAGUUGCUACCAUUUAGUUGAGCACUCUAGCGAGACUGCCCGGGUUAACCGGGAGGAAGGUGGGGAUGACGUCAAAUCAUCAUGCCCCUUAUGUCUAGGGCUACACACGUGCUACAAUGGUCGGUACAAUGAGAUGCAACCUCGCGAGAGUGGGGCAAAACUAUAAAACCGAUCUCAGUUCGGAUUGUAGGCU